rnacentral:ncRNA from 1 species
UUAUCAGUAAUGACGGAGAUUCGCCUAGGUGGCGGUUUGCAGCGAACCAGGAUAUGGUGUAAGCCUGGUAACCAAAGUCAUGGCUCACUAUCACUCCUGAACUGCGGACUGAACAGACAGUACCUUGCGUCAAGGUACUCAGUAAGCUUCGCCGUUUAACGCCCGUUAUCGCGUUGUAAGUGGCUGAACUAAGCCAAUUAGGGUGGUACCACGGGAAUUAACGCUCUCGUCCCUUUA